rnacentral:rRNA from 1 species
UGGGGAAUUUUGCGCAAUGGACGAAAGUCUGACGCAGCGACGCCGCGUGUGCGAUGAAGGCCUUUGGGUCGUAAAGCACUGUCGAACGGGACGAAAACUCCGGUACUAAUACUAUCGGAGUCUGACGGUACUGUUAAAGGAAGCACCGGCUAACUCUGUGCCAGCAGCCGCGGUAAUACAGAGGGUGCAAACGUUGCUCGGAAUUAUUGGGCGUAAAGCGCGUGUAGGCGGCUUGUUAAGUUGGUCGUGAAAGCCCAUGGCUCAACCAUGGAAGUGCAACCAAAACUGGCAAGCUUGAGUUCUGAAGAGGAUGGCGGAAUUCCCAGUGUAGAGGUGAAAUUCGUAGAUAUUGGGAGGAACAUCGGUGGCGAAGGCGGCCAUCUGGGAAGAUACUGACGCUGAGACGCGAAAGCGUGGGUAGCAAACAGG